GCCGUGUGAGUAGCUCAGGCGGCAGAGCGCUGAGACACUGAAUCUUGGGGUCAUGGGUACGAGCCCCACGUUGGGCC